rnacentral:rRNA from 2 species
GUGCGAGACCGAUAGCGAACAAGUACCGUGAGGAAAAGAUGAAAAGAACUUUGAAAAGAGAGUUAAAGAGUACCUGAAACUGCUGAAAGGGAAGCGAAUCGUAUCCAGUGUCUAUAAUCUGCGGCAUAUUUCAUUGGCGGCAGUGUGCGUGCUUUUGCGUCGGAAGCGGCUUUUGUUGCUCUGUGCUUUUGCUGUGCGUGCUGUUGCUGGUGCCCUGUGUUGCGGUGGGACGUCAGAGUCAGUUCGUAUGCUGCGGGAAAUGGCCACCGAGGAGGUAGGUCAGGACUUCGGUCUUGGCUGUUAUAUCUUGGUGGUUUGUUGUCGUGGUUGGGACUGAGGUGCCUACAAUGUGCUUUUGAGUGUGCCGGGUUCUCAUUUGGUGGACUGUUUGGAUAGCUUGCUAUGCUUGUGGUUUUUUCAUCGAGUGAUUGAGUCUGGUGGUAACUUGUUGCUGUUCGGGACUUUGA